UUAACUCGGCCAACUGUUGGAUAUGUUGGUUCAAGCCUGUAGUCGUGCCUGGUAGGUAAAUCCGCCGGGCUUAGAUGAGGGGUGAUAACGAGGCUGCUUGCAGCCGAAGUGAGCGAUACCCAGCUUCCAGGAAAAGCCACUAAGCUUCAGCUACACACGACCGUACCGCAAACCGACACUGGUGCGCGAGAUGAGUAUUCUAAGGCGCUUGAGAGAACUCAGGAGAAGGAACUCGGCAAAUUGACACCGUAACUUCGGAAGAAGGUGUGCCUUUAGUAGGUGAACCUGUACAAGGGGAGCCCAAUGAGGUUGCAAAAAAUCGGUGGCUGCGACUGUUUAUUAAAAACACAGCACUCUGCAAACACGAAAGUGGACGUAUAGGGUGUGACGCCUGCCCGGUGCUGGAAGAUUAAAUGAUGGGGUGCAAGCUCUUGAUUGAAGUCCCAGUAAACGGCGGCCGUAACAAUAACGGUCCUAAGGUAGCGAAAUUCCUUGUCGGGUAAGUUCCGACCUGCACGAAUGGCGUAACGAUGGCCACACUGUCUCCUCCUGAGACUCAGCGAAGUUGAAAUGUUUGUGAUGAUGCAAUCUCCCCGCGGAAAGACGGAAAGACCCCAUGAACCUUUACUGUAGCUUUGUAUUGGACUUUGAACAGAUCUGUGUAGGAUAGGUGGGAGGCUUUGAAGCAGGGUCGCUAGAUCUUGUGGAGCCAACGUUGAAAUACCACCCUGGUGUGUUUGAGGUUCUAACCUAGGUCCAUUAUCUGGAUCGGGGACAGUGCAUGGUAGGCAGUUUGACUGGGGCGGUCUCCUCCCAAAGUGUAACGGAGGAGUUCGAAGGUACGCUAGGUACGGUCGGACAUCGUGCUAAUAGUGCAAUGGCAUAAGCGUGCUUAACUGCGAGACUGACAAGUCGAGCAGAUGCGAAAGCAGGACAUAGUGAUCCGGUGGUUCUGUAUGGAAGGGCCAUCGCUCAACGGAUAAAAGGUACUCUGGGGAUAACAGGCUGAUACCGCCCAAGAGUUCAUAUCGACGGCGGUGUUUGGCACCUCGAUGUCGGCUCAUCUCAUCCUGGGGCUGUAGCCGGUCCCAAGGGUAUGGCUGUUCGCCAUUUAAAGAGGUACGUGAGCUGGGUUUAAAACGUCGUGAGACAGUUUGGUCCCUAUCUUCCGUGGGCGCUGCAGAUUUGAGGAAGCCUGCUCCUAGUACGAGAGGACCGGAGUGGACAUACCUCUGGUGUAUCGGUUGUCACGCCAGUGGCAUUGCCGAGUAGCUAAGUAUGGAAGAGAUAAACGCUGAAAGCAUCUAAGCGUGAAACUCGUUUCAAGAUGAGAUCUGCCGGGGCCUUGAGCCCCCUGAAGAGUCGUUCAAGACCAGGACGUUGAUAGGUCAGGUGUGGAAGCGCAGUAAUGCGUUAAGCUAACUGAUACUAAUUGCUCGUGCGGCUUGACCCG
rnacentral:rRNA from 1 species